UACGUAGGGGGCAAGCGUUGUCCGGAUUUAUUGGGCGUAAAGGGCGCGUAGGCGGCACUGUUAGUCAGGCGUGAAAUUCCUGGGCUCAACCUGGGGACUGCGCUUGAUACGGCAGAGCUUGAGGAUGGAAGAGGGUCGCGGAAUUCCCAGUGUAGAGGUGAAAUUCGUAGAUAUUGGGAAGAACACCGGUGGCGAAGGCGGCGACCUGGUCCAUUACUGACGCUGAGGCGCGACAGCGUGGGGAGCAAACAGG
rnacentral:rRNA from 1 species